rnacentral:rRNA from 1 species
GACCCGCCGCGCUGGGGAGACACGGCCCAGCCUACGGGAGGCAGCAGUGGGGAAUAUUGGACAAUGGGCGGAAGCCUGAUCCAGCAAUACCGCGUGUGUGAAGAAGGCCUUAGGGUUGUAAAGCACUUUUGUCAGGGAGAAUGGCAGUUGAGGUUAAUACCCUUAGCUGUUGAUGUUACCUGAAGAAUAAGCACCGGCUA